rnacentral:rRNA from 1 species
UUAAAGGAAUUGACGGAAGGGCACCACCAGGAGUGGAGCUUGCGGCUUAAUUUGACUCAACACGGGACAACUCACCCGCACCGGACACUGGAAGGAUUGACAGAUUAAGAGCUCUUUCUUGAUUCAGUGGGUGGUGGUGCAUGGCCGUUCUUAGUUGGUGAAGUGAUUUGUCUGGUUAAUUCCGAUAACGAGCGAGAUUCUAGCCUACUAAAUAGGCGUCCCGAUCAACUUUGUCGGGCGUUCUUCUUAGAGGGACAAGCGGCUUUUAGCCGCACGAAACAGAGCAAUAGCAGGUCUGAAAUGCCCUUCGAUGUUCGGGGCCGCACGCGUGCUACACUGAAGGAAUCAGCGUGUGUUUUCCCUGUCUGGUAAGAUUGGGUAACCCGCUCAACCUCCUUCGUGAUAGGGAUAGGGGCUUGCAAUUGUUCCCCUUGAACGAGGAAUUCCCAGUAAGCACGAGUCAUAAGCUCGUGUUGAUUACGUCCCUGCCCUUUGUGCACACCGCCCGUCGCUAUUACCGAUUGAAUGAUUUAGUGAGGUCUUCGGACUGGCGCUCGGAGCGACCUUCGGCCGUGCCGACGUGCCGGAAAGAUGACCAAACUUGAUCAUUUAGAGGAAGUAAAAGUCGUAACAAGGUUUCCGUAGGUGA